UACGUAGGGCGCGAGCGUUGUCCGGAAUUAUUGGGCGUAAAGAGCUCGUAGGCGGCCUGUUGCGUCCGCUGUGAAAUCCCAGGGCUCAACCCUGGGCGUGCAGUGGAUACGGGCAGGCUGGAGGCAGGCAGGGGAGAACGGAAUUCCCGGUGUAGCGGUGAAAUGCGCAGAUAUCUGGAGGAACACCGGUGGCGAAGGCGGCAUCCUGGACCGACACUGACGCUGAGGAGCGAAAGCCAGGGGAGCAAACGGG
rnacentral:rRNA from 1 species